rnacentral:rRNA from 1 species
UCUAAGUAUAACCUGCCAGACAGGGAAACUGCGUACGGCUCAUUACACCAGCCUUAAUUUACUUGACCUUGACAACCUACUUGGAUAACUGUGGUAAUUCUAGAGUUAAUACAUGCACCAAAGCUCCGAUCCUCGCGGAGAGGAGCGCAUUUGUUCGCCACAAAACCAAGCGCCCAUCUGGGCGUCCAGUGCUGAACCAGAACAACUCAGCUGAUCGCACGGUCUUGUACCGGCGACGUGUCUUUCAAGUGUCUGCCUUAUCAACUUUCGAUGGUAGUGUACCUGACUACCAUGGUUGUGACGGGUAACGGAGGAUAAGGGUUCGACUCCGGAGAAGGGGCCUGAGAAAUGGCCACUACGUCUAAGGAUGGCAGCAGGCGCGCAAAUUACCCACUCUCAACGCGAGGAGGUAGUGACGAGAAAUAACGAGACCGUUCUCAUACGAGGCCGGUUAUUGGAAUGGGUACAAUUUAAA